GAUACUGUGUGAAAAAGAUAAAUUCUCUUGUGAGUUUGCUUACUUCAAGAAUUUUCUAUUUUCACUUGGUAUU
rnacentral:ncRNA from 1 species